rnacentral:rRNA from 1 species
AUUGAACGCUGGCGGCAUGCCUUACACAUGCAAGUCGAACGGUAACAGGUCUUCGGAUGCUGACGAGUGGCGAACGGGUGAGUAAUACAUCGGAACGUGCCCGAGAGUGGGGGAUAACGAGGCGAAAGCUUUGCUAAUACCGCAUACGAUCUCAGGAUGAAAGCAGGGGACCGCAAGGCCUUGCGCUCACGGAGCGGCCGAUGGCAGAUUAGGUGGUUGGUGGGAUAAAAGCUUACCAAGCCGACGAUCUGUAGCUGGUCUGAGAGGACGACCAGCCAAACUGGGACUGAGACACGGCCCAGACUCCUACGGGGGGCAGCAGUGGGGAAUUUUGGACAAUGGGCGCAAGCCUGAUCCAGCCAUGCCGCGUGCAGGAUGAAGGCCUUCGGGUUGUAAACUGCUUUUGUACGGAACGAAAAGACUCCUUCUAAUAAAGGGGGUCCAUGACGGUACCGUAAGAAUAAGCACCGGCUAACUACGUGCCAGCCGCCGCAGUAAUAC